rnacentral:rRNA from 1 species
AACGAACGCUGGCGGCGUGCCUAACACAUGCAAGUCGAGCGCGAAAGGAGCAAUCCGAGUAGAGCGGCGCACGGGUGCGUAACACGUGGAUAAUCUGCCUCAGGGUUGAGGAUAACCUUCCGAAAGGUUGGCUAAUACUCGGUAAGCUUACGGUGACUUUGGUCGCUGUGAGAAAACUAGACCUCUAUUUAUAAGUUUAGGCCCAGAGAUGAGUCCGCGGCCCAUCAGCUAGUUGGCGGGGUAACGGCCCACCAAGGCUACGACGGGUAGCGGGUCUGAGAGGACGAUCAGCCACACUGGAACUGAGACACGGUCCAGACUCCUACGGGAGGCAGCAGUGGGGAAUUUUCCACAAUGGGCGAAAGCCUGAUGGAGCAACGCCGCGUGUGUGAUGAAGGUCUUCGGAUCGUAAAGCACUUUCGACUGGGACGAAAAACCUUUGGCUAACAUCCAGGGGCCUGACGGUACCAGGAGAAGAAGCAUCGGUUAACUCUGUGCCAGCCGCCGCCGUAAAAC